CUUUUUUCUCUCCACUGGGAUAUAGUGAUACCAGAGAAUCAGACAGGGAUGGCUACGGUUUACACAUUUCUUCUAUGGUGUGUGAUGCUGCUGGACUGCCAGCUGUUCCAGGGAGAUGAGGACCAGGGAAAGUCGCCCCAGUCUGAACCAGGCGUCCUGUAAUGAUGAGCUGGGCUCCUACACCUGUACCUGUCUACCAGGCUUCACUGGGAUGAACUGUGAGUAACAGCCAGGCAGUGUAAGGUGAAUAACGGAGAAUGUGUUCUGUGGCACCUAUGGGGCACAAUGUAGCUGUGCAGAUGGCUACAAGCUGCUGCAGAAUGGAGUCAACUUUAAACCUGAAUGUAACCAAAAUAUUUCACAUCUGGUUACACAUUUACCAGAAUCUUACUUAAGUACUGUGUAGCAACAUGUUAUUACAGUAGUGUGACUACAAUGUCACUACAUUAAUGUAUAGAGGAACUUGAUGUCAAGUGUUAGAAAGGAUGGUGGUUGCUAACUUUGGAUUUGCAUGUAUACAUACAGUACCAGUCAUC